rnacentral:rRNA from 1 species
UACCUUAAAGCUAGCCUACCAAAAGAAAAACAAAAACCAAUUUAAAUAACCCCUAAAUACACUAAUAUCAAAACUAACAAACCAUUUUUCCUCCUUAGUAUAGGUGAUAGAAAAGGAAACUUAGCGCAAUAGAGAAAGUACCGCAAGGGAAUGCUGAAAGAGAAAUGAAAUAACCCAGAAAAGCUAAAAAAAGCAGAGCUUAAACCUCGUACCUUUUGCAUCAUGAUUUAGCAAGUGUAACUUAAGCAAAGAGAACUAUAGUUUAAACCCCCGAAACUACGUGAGCUACUCCAAGACAGCCUAUUAUAGGGCACACCCUUCUCUGUUGCAAAAGAGUGGGACGAGCUUUGAGUAGAGGUGAUAAACCUACCGAACCUAGUUAUAGCUGGUUGUCCAAGAAAUGAAUAGAAGUUCAGCCUAUCGGCUUCUCUCUUCCCGCUAGUCUUACACCUGUCGAUGAAUAAGAAACCAAUAGAGUUAGUCAAAGGGGGUACAGCCCCUUUGAAAAAAGACACAACUUUUACAGGAGGGUAAAGAUCAUA